CGCCCGUGAGGUUGCGGAAGGUCAGACCACCGGACUCUCACUCCGGAAGACCGGGUUCGACCCCCGGACGGGCGAC
rnacentral:tRNA from 1 species